rnacentral:tRNA from 1 species
GUCCCUUCGUCUAAUGCUUAGGACACCGCCCUUUCACGGCGGCAACAGGGGUUCGAAUCCCCUACGGGAUGCCA